rnacentral:rRNA from 1 species
UGGCUCAGGACGAACGCUGGCGGCGUGCUUAACACAUGCAAGUCGAACGGAAAGGCCCUUCGGGGUACUCGAGUGGCGAACGGGUGAGUAACACGUGGGUGAUCUGCCCUGCACUUUGGGAUAAGCCUGGGAAACUGGGUCUAAUACCGGAUAGGACCACGCGCUUCAUGGUGUGUGGUGGAAAGCUUUUGCGGUGUGGGAUGGGCCCGCGGCCUAUCAGCUUGUUGGUGGGGUAAUGGCCUACCAAGGCGACGACGGGUAGCCGGCCUGAGAGGGUGACCGGCCACACUGGGACUGAGAUACGGCCCAGACUCCUACGGGAGGCAGCAGUGGGGAAUAUUGCACAAUGGGCGCAAGCCUGAUGCAGCGACGCCGCGUGAGGGAUGACGGCCUUCGGGUUGUAAACCUCUUUCAAUAGGGACGAAGCGCAAGUGACGGUACCUAUAGAAGAAGGACCGGCCAACUACGUGCCAGCAGCCGCGGUAAUACGUAGGGUCCGAGCGUUGUCCGGAAUUACUGGGCGUAAAGAGCUCGUAGGUGGUUUGUCGCGUUGUUCGUGAAAACUCACAGCUUAACUGUGGGCGUGCGGGCGAUACGGGCAGACUAGAGUACUGCAGGGGAGACUGGAAUUCCUGGUGUAGCGGUGGAAUGCGCAGAUAUCAGGAGGAACACCGGUGGCGAAGGCGGGUCUCUGGGCAG